rnacentral:rRNA from 1 species
GACGAACGCUGGCGGCGUGCCUAAUACAUGCAAGUAGAACGCUGAAGGAGGAGCUUGCUUCUCUGGAUGAGUUGCGAACGGGUGAGUAACGCGUAGGUAACCUGCCUGGUAGCGGGGGAUAACUAUUGGAAACGAUAGCUAAUACCGCAUAACAGUAGAUAUCGCAUGAUAGCUGCUUGAAAAGGUGCAAUUGCACCACUACCAGAUGGACCUGCGUUGUAUUAGCUAGUUGGUGGGGUAACGGCUCACCAAGGCAACGAUACAUAGCCGACCUGAGAGGGUGAUCGGCCACACUGGGACUGAGACACGGCCCAGACUUCUACGGGAGGCAGCAGUAGGGAAUCUUCGGCAAUGGACGGAAGUCUGACCGAGCAACGCCGCGUGAGUGAAGAAGGUUUUCGGAUCGUAAAGCUCUGCUGAUAG